rnacentral:rRNA from 1 species
AGAGUUUGAUCCUGGCUCAGGGUGAACGCUGGCGGUAUGCGUAACACAUGCAAGUCGAACGAAGUUUUUCGGAACUUAGUGGCGGACGGGUGAGUAACGCGUGAGAAUCUGCCUUAAGGAUUGGGACAACAGUGGGAAACCGCUGCUAAUACCAAAUAUGCCUUUUAGUGAAACGGGUAAAACCGCCUUAAGAUGAGCUCGCGUCUGAUUAGCUAGUUGGUGUGGUAAGAGCGCACCAAGGCAACGAUCAGUAGCUGGUCUGAGAGGACGACCAGCCACACUGGGACUGAGACACGGCCCAGACUCCUACGGGAGGCAGCAGUGAGGAAUUUUCCGCAAUGGGCGAAAGCCUGACGGAGCAAUACCGCGUGAGGGAGGAAGGUUCUUGGAUUGUAAACCUCUUUUCUCAGAGAAGAAUAAUGACGGUAUCUGAGGAAUAAGCAUCGGCUAACUCCGUGCCAGCAGCCGCGGUAAUACGGAGGAUGCAAGCGUUAUCCGGAAUGAUUGGGCGUAAAGGGUCUGUAGGUGGUUGUUCAAGUCUGCUGUUAAAGCGUCUGGCUUAACCAGAUAAAGGCGGUGGAAACUGAACGACUAGAGUGCGGUAGGGGUAGAGGGAAUUCCCAGUGUAGCGGUGAAAUGCGUAGAUCUUGGGAAGAACACCUGUGGCGAAAGCGCUCUACUGGACCGCGACUGACACUGAUGGACGAAAGCUAGGGGAGCGAAUGGGAUUAGAUACCCCCGUAGUCC